rnacentral:rRNA from 1 species
GAUGAACGCUGGCGGCGUGCUUAACACAUGCAAGUCGAACGGAAAGGCCAGUGCUUGCACUGGUACUCGAGUGGCGAACGGGUGAGUAACACGUGGGUGAUCUGCCCUGUACUUCGGGAUAAGCUUGGGAAACUGGGUCUAAUACCGGAUAGGACAACUUUUUGGAUAUUGUUGUGGAAAGCUUUUGCGGUAUGGGAUGAGCUCGCGGCCUAUCAGCUUGUUGGUGGGGUAAUGGCCUACCAAGGCGUCGACGGGUAGCCGGCCUGAGAGGGUGUACGGCCACAUUGGGACUGAGAUACGGCCCAGACUCCUACGGGAGGCAGCAGUGGGGAAUAUUGCACAAUGGGCGCAAGCCUGAUGCAGCGACGCCGCGUGGGGGAUGAAGGCCUUCGGGUUGUAAACUCCUUUCGCUAGGGACGAAGCUUUUUUGUGACGGUACCUGGAGAAGAAGCACCGGCUAACUAUGUG